UACGUAGGGUGCGAGCGUUAAUCGGAAUUACUGGGCGUAAAGCGUGCGCAGGCGGUUUGUUAAGACGGAUGUGAAAUCCCCGGGCUCAACCUGGGAACUGCAUUUGUGACUGCAUCGCUGGAGUACGGCAGAGGGGGAUGGAAUUCCGCGUGUAGCAGUGAAAUGCGUAGAUAUGCGGAGGAACACCGAUGGCGAAGGCAAUCCCCUGGGCCUGUACUGACGCUCAUGCACGAAAGCGUGGGGAGCAAACAGG
rnacentral:rRNA from 1 species